UCCCUCUUCCCUGGACACAUCCCUUUUUAUCUGGAUUCUUCUUCCAAAUGGAUUCAGUUUAGUUGUAGAGCUAGAAUGAAGGACUUAGCUGUCUCCCUUCUAUAUAAACCAUAAGUCAGCUCCUUCACUCAACACAAAUUUGUGAUCAGCCUACCAUGUGUCAAGCAUUGGGAUGAAUCAGACACAGUCCACAGAGUGUUAAGGACCAAACCGCUGGUUAAGUCACUUGGCCAAGUACCACUUGGAAACAGCUGAGCCGGGAUGCAGGCAUGAGUCCACCCAGCUGCAAAGCCCGUCCGCUCCCCACCACAUCACCCUGAACAAGGAGAGGGCUCACAGCCCCGGACGGGAGAGGAAAUGAGAGCCAGCUCCUGUCGACUCCAUCAGCGGCUUCCCUCCUUUUCAACCGAGAGCCACCCCCAGAGUCUGGGUCAUACAACUUCAAAAUAAAAAUAAAUUGCUUGGAUGACCUCCAAAGAGCCAAGUGGGAAGCCCCAUGACCUGAGUGCCCCAGAGAAGCCAUUCUGAGGAGGAUAAUCACAGCCAGGAAUCUCCCUCAGAAGAUGACUACAGACGGAACAGCCAGCAUCCAUACACUCAGUUCAUCUGGAAAUGCUGAGCCAUCCAAGUGUGGCCAGAGUCGCAGGACGUGUGUAGCAAGGACCACGACAGGAUAAAUUACAAGCUAAUCCUCCCCGAGGUCUCAGAUCUGGAUGUUCAAUUGUGGACUUUUCCUCUCAUCAUUUUCUGCCAGCAAGCUGGUCACCGUCACCUCCUAAAAUGCUUUUGUUAGAGUGUGGUCUCUUUUUCUCACACCAAGGGGGCUUUCCGAGUGGUGCUAGCAGUAAAGAACCCGCCAAUGCAGGAGACGCAGGAGACGUGGGUUCGAUCCCUAGAUCAGGAAGAUCCCCUGGAGGAGGGCAUGGCACCCCACUCCCAUAUUCUUGACUCAGAAACCUCAUGGUUGGAGGAGCCUGGUGGGCUACAGUCCAGAGGGUCACAAAGAGUCGGACUCGACUGAAGCAACUUCGAGGGCACCAUAAAUCACUGACCUUUAAUCUCGAAUUAACUAAGAAAUUCUUUGACCUCAGGCCCUGUGGUAAUUAGACACGUCAUCCGGCUUUGAUGGGAAGUUUUCUGUGUCUCUGGGAUCAUCUCAAUAAAUGGCUUGGCAGCUAUGUCCUCUACGUGCCAGGAUGAAAUUAGCUGGAUUUAAGUGUGGCAAUUUGAAGAGAGUUUUGUUUUUUUGUUUUUUGUUUUUUUUUUUUAACUAGCUCAGUGAACCCCAGAACAUCUUAAUGAGUGGGUCGAGAAGCCUCCCCACAGGAGGGUCCUCUGUGAGCCUGAGGACCCCAGUGC
ensembl:lncRNA